rnacentral:rRNA from 1 species
GACGAACGCUGGCGGCGUGCUUAACACAUGCAAGUCGAACGGAAAGGCCCUGCUUUUGUGGGGUGCUCGAGUGGCGAACGGGUGAGUAACACGUGAGUAACCUGCCCUUGACUUUGGGAUAACUUCAGGAAACUGGGGCUAAUACCGGAUAGGAGCUCCUGCUGCAUGGUGGGGGUUGGAAAGUUUCGGCGGUUGGGGAUGGACUCGCGGCUCAUCAGCUUGUUGGUUGGGUAGUGGCUUACCAAGGCUCUGACGGGUAGCCGGCCUGCGAGGGUGACCGGCCACAUUGGGACUGGGAUACGGCCCAGACUGCUACGGGGGGCAGCAGUGGAGAAUAGUGCACAAUGGGCGGAAGCCUGAUGCAGCAACGCCGCGUGCGGGAUGACGGCCUUCGGGUUGUAAACCGCUUUCGCCUGUGACGAAGAGUGAGUGACGGUAAUUGGUAAAGAAGCACCGGCUAACUACGUG